rnacentral:rRNA from 1 species
CUACGGGACGCAGCAGUGAGGAAUUUUGCGCAAUGGGGGGAACCCUGACGCAGCAACGCCGUGUGAGUGAAGAAGGCCUUUGGGUCGUAAAGCUCUGUCAACUGGGAAGAAGUUACUGUGCUUUAAUAGAGUGCAGUAUUGACGGUACCAGUGGAGGAAGCGUCGGCUAACUCCGUGCCAGCAGCCGCGGUAACACGGGGGACGCAAGCGUUAUUCGGAAUUAUUGGGCGUAAAGGGCGCGUAGGCGGUCUUGUCGGUCAGGUGUGAAAGCCCGGGGCUCAACCCCGGACGUGCACUUGAAACAGCAAGACUUGAGUACGGGAGAGGAAAGCGGAAUUCCUGGUGUAGAGGUGAAAUUCGUAGAUAUCAGGAGGAACACCGAUGGCGAAGGCAGCUUUCUGGACCGAAACUGACGCUGAGGCGCGAAGGCGUGGGUAGCGAACGGGAUUAGAUACCCGAGUAGUC